AGUGAACGCUGGCGGUAGGCCUAACACAUGCGAGUCGAACGGCAGCACAGUAAGAGCUUGCUCCUACGGGUGGCGAGUGGCGGGCGGGUGAGGAAUAGAUCAGAAUCUACUUUUACGUGGGGGAUAACGUAGAGAAAGUUACGAUAAUAGCUCAUAAGACCUACGGGAGAAAGCAGGAGAUCUUCGGCGCUUUCGCGACUGAAUGAGACGAAGUCGGAUUAGCUAGUUGGCGGGGUAAAGGCCCACCAAGGCGACGAUCCGUAGCUGGCCUGAGAGGAUGAUCGGCCACACUGGAACUGAGACACGGUCCAGACUCCUACGGGAGGCAGCAGUGGGGAAUAUUCGACAAUGGGCGCAAGCCUGACCCAGCAAUGCCGCGUGAGUGAAGAAGGUCUUCGGGUUGUAAAACCCUUUUGUUGGGAAAGAAAAGCAGCAUGUGUAUACCCCCCUGUUCUGACGGUACCCAAAGAGUAAGCACCGGCUAACUUCGUG
rnacentral:rRNA from 1 species